rnacentral:misc_RNA from 1 species
GUGAAUCAUCAAAUUUUUGAACGCAAAUUGCACUCUCCUCGGAGAGUAUGCCUGUUUGAGGGUCAGCCUAAAAAAAAUCAACAUCGUUGCUGUUUCUCGUUGACGUUCGUCGGCAAUUUGGUCAUCUUAAACCUUUUGGUUUAAGCGACUUAAAAUUUUCUUUUUGAUUCCAUGCACGUUUCUAAGAUUUAUUUCUUUACACGUUUAAGGUAUCUAUUUAUUAUACGUGUCCGUCAUAUCGGAUCGCGAUCAUAAUCUUUCUUUAACUGACUCA